GAGUGAUAUGAUGGUAUACCAUCUUUCGGGACUGACUCUUGAUGUGGAGAGUUCCUUUUGCUUUACUGAUCACUC
ensembl:snoRNA